GGGGCUGUAGCUCAAUUGGGAGAGCGUUUGACUGGCAGUCAAAAGGUAGGGGGUUCGAAUCCCCCCAGCUCCA
rnacentral:tRNA from 2 species